rnacentral:pre_miRNA from 1 species
UGUUGACGGAAGAGAGCGAGCACAACCCGGCAUUGGUGAAAGAGAGCUUUGCCACUGUUGGGAGUGUACUCGUUCUUCUUCCGUCAGCG